rnacentral:tRNA from 1 species
GGGGGAUUAGCUCAGCUGGGAGAGCGCCUGCCUUGCACGCAGGAGGUCAUCGGUUCGAUCCCGUUAUCCUCCA